rnacentral:tRNA from 1 species
AAAAAUGUAGCAUAAAUUAAUGCAUUUCGCUUACACUGAAAACAUACUUAGAUAUAAGUCAUUUUUA